UACGGAGGGUGCAAGCGUUAUCCGGAUUCACUGGGUUUAAAGGGUGCGUAGGCGGGGAGAUAAGUCAGUGGUGAAAUCUCCGAGCUUAACUCGGAAACUGCCAUUGAUACUAUUUAUCUUGAAUAUUGUGGAGGUAAGCGGAAUAUGUCAUGUAGCGGUGAAAUGCUUAGAUAUGACAUAGAACACCAAUUGCGAAGGCAGCUCACUACACGAGCAUUGACUCUGAGGCACGAAAGCGUGGGGAUCAAACAGG
rnacentral:rRNA from 1 species